rnacentral:ncRNA from 2 species
CUCUUAUCAAGAGAGGUGGAGGGACUGUGCCCGAUGAAGCCCGGCAACCGUCAACGAUGUUGAAAUGGUGCCAAUUCCUGCAAAGCGUAUGCUUUGAGAGAUGAGAG